rnacentral:rRNA from 1 species
UACGGAGGGAGCUAGCGUUGUUCGGAAAUACUGGGCGUAAAGCGCACGUAGGCGGCGCAGCAAGUCAGGGGUGAAAUCCCGGGGCUCAACCCCGGAACUGCCCUUGAAACUGCAGUGCUAGAAUUCUGGAGAGGCGAGUGGAAUUCCGAGUGUAGAGGUGAAAUUCGUAGAUAUUCGGAAGAACACCAGUGGCGAAGGCGACUCGCUGGACAGACAUUGUCGCUGAGGUGCGAAAGCGUGGGGAGCAAACAGG